rnacentral:rRNA from 1 species
UACGGAGGGUGCGAGCGUUGUCCGGAAUCACUGGGCGUAAAGGGCGCGUAGGUGGCGCGACAAGUCAACGGUGAAAGCCCGGGGCUCAACCCCGGGUCGGCCGUCGAUACUGUUGGGCUUGAGCACUGUAGAGGCAGAUGGAAUUCCGGGUGUAGCGGUGGAAUGCGUAGAGAUCCGGAAGAACACCGGUGGCGAGGGCAGGUCUCUGGGCAUUAACUGACGCUGAGGAGCGAAAGCAUGGGGAGCGAACAGG